rnacentral:rRNA from 1 species
AGAAUCAACGCUGGCGGCGUGCCUAACACAUGCAAGUCGAACGAGAAAGUGGAGCAAUCCAUGAGUAAAGUGGCGCACGGGUGAGUAACACGUGACUAACCUACCCUUGAGCGGGGGAUAACCUAGAGAAAUCUGGGCUAAUACCGCAUAAUACCUUCGGGUCAAAGGAGCAAUUCGCUUAAGGAGGGGGUCGCGGCCGAUUAGUUAGUUGGCGGGGUAAUGGCCCACCAAGACUGUGAUCGGUA